rnacentral:rRNA from 1 species
UGCAGUCGAACGGCAGCGCGGGAGCAAUCCUGGCGGCGAGUGGCGAACGGGUGAGUAAUAUAUCGGAACGUGCCCAGUAGUGGGGGAUAGCCCGGCGAAAGCCGGAUUAAUACCGCAUACGACCUAAGGGUGAAAGGGGGGGAUUCGCAAGAACCUCUCGCUAUUGGAGCGGCCGAUAUCAGAUUAGGUAGUUGGUGGGGUAAAAGCCUACCAAGCCUGCGAUCUGUAGUUGGUCUGAGAGGACGACCAGCCACACUGGGACUGAGACACGGCCCAGACUCCUACGGGAGGCAGCAGUGGGGAAUUUUGGACAAUGGGCGCAAGCCUGAUCCAGCAAUGCCGCGUGCAGGAAGAAGGCCUUCGGGUUGUAAACUGCUUUUGUCAGGGAAGAAAUCCUCUGGGUUAAUACCUCGGGGGGAUGACGGUACCUGAAGAAUAAGCACCGGCUAACUACGUGCCAGCAGCCGCGGUAAUACGUAGGGUGCGAGCGUUAAUCGGAAUUACUGGGCGUAAAGCGUGCGCAGGCGGUUGUGCAAGACAGGUGUGAAAUCCCCGGGCUUAACCUGGGAACUGCACUUGUGACUGCACAGCUAGAGUACGGUAGAGGGGGAUGGAAUUCCGCGUGUAGCAGUGAAAUGCGUAGAUAUGCGGAGGAACACCGAUGGCGAAGGCAAUCCCCUGGACCUGUACUGACGCUCAUGCACG